GGUGACUCACGGCGGCAGCCGCCGGGUAGCGGAUCCGAGAGCCGAGCGGCGAGCGGGCACAUCGGGCCCCGCUCUUCGCCCCCUUCCCCGGGCACCGCGUGCCGCCCGUCGCACCCCUGCCCCCUCCCCGACCCCCUGCGCUUCUGCCAAGUGGAAUAAACGCCCGGGUUUCCGGCAAACAUUCACCCUUCCGACACCGAACGGGAGGCCGCCCCCCUCCCGGCCGGCACCCCUGUGGCAGGCGGGCCGGGGUCCGUCCCCGCGGCCGGCAGCGCUCCCGGCGGCACCCGCCCCCACCUCUCCAUGCUUAUAUAACAGCUCUCAAGAGGAAGCUGCUAACAAGCCCAUCUGCUUGUUUGUGCCAGCUGUUUUAGUGGAGGCAUGCUGGAUGUGACUGAGCUCCACCUUCUUUUUUGAGAAAAUCAUUUGGAAAAUGACACAGUCUGAAGAAUAAUGGGAAUUCAAAAUCUGUCUCCAAAUUUCCUCGUGAACCAGUCUGCUCCUCUGCAUCUGCAGAAAGGGACAGAUAUUAUCUUCAUUUACAGGAAUUUUCAUGGAAAGUGAGCCUGAGCCAUGGCAGAUAAAGACCUUAUGGAUAUUUUCCCCUAAGAGGACACGUCUAACAGAUCUUAAUUCUUAUUAAAAACAAGAGUUGCAAGUGGAGCACUUGUGAUUCCUGCCUUCUACACACUGAGUAUUUUUACAGCAGUACAUCUGCAGUACUCAAGGAAUCUCCAUGAGUAGAAAGACAGUGGCAGUUCACUUUAUUUAGCAGUGUUUCUCCAUGAUGUGCUUGCUAAAAGAAGUGAGAUAUCUGGAAAAAAAUUAGACUUGUUUGUGAAAAAAACCCAAAAAACUGACCAAUAGGCUACCUAGAAAGCAUCCAGCCUGGAUCUCAGCUGCAAAGGAGAAAAUUUUUUGUGUUGUUCUUGCCCAGAGUGCUGGCCCUGCUGGACUCAACCCUCUUGCCAUCCAGUGGAUUAAAGCUGAGACCCAAGCCACCAGCAAGAUGCCAGAGCUGGAUGCAGAACUCCAGGUGGGGUCUCGUGAAGGCAGAGUAGAGGAGCAGGACCACCUCCCUUGACCUGCUGGCCACACUGCUUUGGGUGCAGCUGAAGAUGCAGUUGGCCUUCUGGAGUGUGGGCAUACCCAAGAGAGACUCCUGUUAGAAAAGCUUUGCCUGGAACAGCACAUAAUCUAUUGGCAUUUUGGAUCUGCAGGAGAAAACCAGAAUGUUUCCACCAUCAAAGGUCUCUUGGAGUUGUUGAAAGAAGGCUGGAACAGUCCUGGUUUUUGGACUUUCUUUUCUUAAGGUCUCCAUUUAGUUGAUUUUGGAAAGCAUGAAGUGUUUGAGAGGAUUAGAGACAGCAGAAGAAGAGGAAUUCAGAGUGGAGCCCUGAUUCCUGAGCUCAGUGUCCAUUGAUGCCUAAAAGUUUGCUGACUAGCUCCCAGCUCCAGGUUUCUGGGCGGGGCACUUCAGCCAAUCACAUUUGUUGAAGAAGAUCUCACAGACAUUUCAACUUGGCCUUGUUUCCUGCCAAUAGCACCUGGCAAGAGAGCUACAUGGUGUGGCCAUUAUUUCUGUGAAAAACUGCUCAGUUUUCUUCAAGCAUUUCUCCCUAUGCUGUUUUACCAUCUGUUGAUGAAUGUCACUCCAGACUCCUGAGAUGAUGUCUUGAAGCUUUCUCCUCCACUGUGUCCUGGAUGCUCAUCUCAGGAGACUUUCCAGUGAUCUGCAACAAGUGGCAACAUAGACCACGUGGAAAUGCAUCUUGCAAUAUCCUUCUUCCAGUGAAUGUUAAGUUUCUUGUGAGACCAAAGGUUUGGCUGAAUCUUUGGUAUAUUUUAACACAUCCUUACUUUAGGUCUGUGAACUAAAUUUGCAGAUUAUUUCCACUUUAAUUUUCAUUCUUAUUUCUCAGAGAAAUCCGACUAACCCCUUCUUCCUUGCUCAACAUCUGUUUGUCUUCUUUGGUGAGAAUCUGCACACUGCUCAUUGCAAUAUGGAAGCCUGAGCUGCCAGUGAAAUUUUGGUGACUAAUAACUGUUGACCUCCAUGUUCAGAAAAAAUUCAUACAUAGUGGAUUAAAUAAAUGCAUAUAUUAACAUGUGAUUAGAAAAUUCAUCCUCUGCUACUUGUCUGGGCUCGAUUGACCAUAAUCAAUGACUGAUUUAGGUCUUGGAUUCUAUAAAAAAGCCCCAAAACUCCCAACUGGUGACAUUUGCAUUUUCUUCAAAACUUUAGACAACAUAAAGAAAAGCAGUUUAAGGUUUCACCAAACUGUUGAGUUUUGAAAAAACAUUUUCCCCCUUAAUUUGAACCAUAAUUUUCUCAAAGAAAAUUGAAUUAAAAAACCAACUAACAUGUUUUUGUAAUUAAACAGAGUAUUGAGCUAUGCAAACAAUAAAGAUCCUUGUUUGAAAUUAAUUCCUGUCCUGCUUCUGGGAUUACCAGGGGAAUAAAAUUAUAGCAAAACAAAACAGAAAAACCUGCUACAGCCUAGAACUUGCACUUUACCAGAAGCAAAAGGAAAUUUAGACUCAAUAGUUUAGAGUUCUAUUCUGUCUCCAAAACGCAUGAUUUGUUAUAAAUUUGACAAUAAGAAAAAUCUCAUCACUCCUGUCAUCAGAAGACAAAGCUGUACCUCUAAUUUUUAUUCUUUACAGCUCACUUGUUUACUUUUCUUCCUCUGUACUGAAGGGACAUAUUGAGGUGAUUCUCAGGAAUGUGAACAUAAGAACAGUGCAUCAAGUCAAGAGAUAGUAAUUGUCUACAUUUUAGAGGAAAAGUUUCCUCCUAGGGCAGGAAGCUUGCCUGGAAGUAAGAAAGGUCUCAUAGAAAAGUCUGAAAACCUUUAGGUUGACUGUAUUCUUCUUUUAUAUUUAUUUGAAAAUAAAAAAGAAACAAAAAAACUCACCAACUAAACCACAAGAGGCAAAAUCUGACCUGUGAUACUGUGUUUAAAAACCCCAGAAGCUGUUUUUAGAAACAGGUCAUAUUUCCACGAACAAACAUUGCUUGUCAAUUAACAUAGUGAAACACUCAAAUUGGCUUCAGAAGGUUAAGUCUUGCAGGAUAUCAUGGUAUUAAAUAUAUCAGUUUUGGGGUCUCAGUCUUCUGAGGGUGUCAGUGUGCUGUAACUACCCAUCAAUCCUUUGCUCUGUUGAAAUCUAACCAUCUGGUUUGUGUUGAGCCUCUUGAAUAAGCUACUGCUCCCCUUGUUCUUUGUGUACAGAGCUGCCUUUUGGAACACAAUAUUUGGUCAAGUUCCUUGGCCCACAGAUUUCUUCUUCUUAUCCAGUUGUCCUGCCCCAAGUGCCCCAGUUGUGCAUGGGCUCUCAAGAGUCCAAAGUCAACAUUGUGGAGGCUUGGGCAUGCUGAGUUUGUGGUUGAGGGCACAUCCAAAUGUUGCUACAUCCCAGAUUUGGUUCAAAUACUUAGCAUAGCCCAUUUAUUCUAAUUAAAUAAAUGAUAUUUCUCCAAAGGAAAGAAGAAUGGGGAGAGAAAAUGAGCAGGGAUCAACUGCUGAAGUGUUCCCUGUGUCAAAAAACAUGAGCAUUCCUGUAACAUUACACUGACUCUGUCACCAGGGACACAGCGGCCCAGUUUCAAGUUUUUGCUCAAUGCUCCAAGAGUCCCAAGUCACAAAGCUGUGCCCAUGACUUAAUACUGCCAGCAUUAAGAAGAUUUUCUGGGGAAAAUUUUCAAGUACUUUUUUUUUUUUUUUAAUAAUGUUUUCUUCAAGUUGAAAAGUCAUAUUGCCUCCCUAAGGGCCAGAGGCUAACACGUGGAAUAGAUAUCAAUGAAUUGUUUUCAUCCUACAAGCUAAUGACCAGGUCAAAAUUCCUUUAGUCUCUUCCUUCUCGAUUGGGGAGUUUUAAAAAUAAAAUUUCUUUGCUAUGCCACCUAUUAGCUAAAUGGUUUGUUGACCAU